GCGGGUAUAGCUCAAUGGUAGAGCACAUGCCUAGCAAGCCCAAGGUCCUGGAUUCAAUCCCCAGCACUUCCA
rnacentral:tRNA from 1 species